UCUCACUCUCACUCUCUCUCUCUCUCUCUCUUAGUUCCAACUUAUUUCUCUUGCCCCAUCUCACUCUCUUAGUUCCCAACUUAUUUGAUCUGAUGGAAAGCUUCACCAGUUCGCGAAUUCAACGGGAUUUGUUCAUAUUUUGAAACGACAAAUCUAAAUCACUGAUCGACAAGAUGUCCACUUCUACUGGGUUCCUCGUUUCUACUCAGGUAUGUAUUUUUGUUCAAACUUUUACUUCGAAUUUGGGUAAACACAUUAAUAGUUCGAAAUAAAAAAUACAUACCUGAGUAGAAGCAAGGCACCGGUAGAGGGCACCAAUGAUGAUCCUUCCAAUUUGACAAGACAUUGAAGAUUUUGAAGGAUACCGGCGUAUACUCCCUACCCUCAUGGAUGCUUGAGGUUGGUGAAAAAACAAGACAUAUUCUUCACAGAUAAUCAAGGAAAACGCAAUAAUGAAUGUCUCUCAUGGGGCAUCGCCAAUGAGAAGGUUUUACUUGAUCGUAGUGCUUUGGAGGUUUACUAUGAUUUCAUGAAGAACUUUAAAGACAAGUUUAAGGUGUUUUUUUGAACAAAAAAACAUAUACGCUAUUGAGAUCGGUCUAGGCCCAUCUGGGGAUCUACGAUAUCCGUCUUGUAAUUCGGAGCAUGGUUGGGUUUAUCCAGGUGUUAGUGCAUUCUAGGUAAUCAUUGAUAUAACUGUUUUGUGUUAGUGCAUUCUAGGUAAUCAUUGAUAUAACUGUUUUGUGUAACACUGAUAUUCAAGGGUAAAAGGUGUGUCCUAACUUUUCUUUAU
rnacentral:lncRNA from 1 species